rnacentral:rRNA from 1 species
CGGGUGAGUAACACGUGAGUGACCUGCCUUUUAGACUGGAACAACUUACCGAAAGGUGAGCUAAUGCCGGAUGAGUUAUAUAAGUGCAUGUUUAUAUAGGAAAAGUUGGGGAGACCUGACGCUGAGAGAUGGACUCGCGUCCCAUUAGCUAGUUGGUAGGGUAAUGGCCUACCAAGGCGACGAUGGGUAGCCGGCCUGAGAGGGUGGCCGGCCACACUGGGACUGAGACACGGCCCAGACUCCUACGGAAGGCAGCAG